rnacentral:rRNA from 1 species
GAUGAACGCUGGCGGCGUGCCUAAUACAUGCAAGUCGAGCGAACGGACGAGAAGCUUGCUUCUCUGAUGUUAGCGGCGGACGGGUGAGUAACACGUGGAUAACCUACCUAUAAGACUGGGAUAACUUCGGGAAACCGGAGCUAAUACCGGAUAAUAUUUUGAACCGCAUGGUUCAAAAGUGAAAGACGGUCUUGCUGUCACUUAUAGAUGGAUCCGCGCUGCAUUAGCUAGUUGGUAAGGUAACGGCUUACCAAGGCAACGAUGCAUAGCCGACCUGAGAGGGUGAUCGGCCACACUGGAACUGAGACAGGGUCCAGACACCUACGGGAGGCAGCAGUAGGGAAUCUUACGCGAUGGGCGAAAGCCUGACGGAGCAACGCCGCGUGAGUGAUGAAGGUCUUCGGAUCGUAAAACUCUGUUAGUAGGGAAGAACAAAUGUGUAAGUAACUGUGCACAUAUUGACGGUACCUAAUCAGAAAGCCACGGCUAACUACGUG